rnacentral:lncRNA from 10 species
CCGGCGGCAGCCUCGGCGGUCUGGGCGGGGCGGGAAGCCCGCUUUCAACCCCGCGUACCCUCUGACCCCGGAAGUGCUUGCUGCGCAGGACCCCUUGAAAAAAAAUGAGGACCCGUCUUUUUUAGGUCACAAGAUUGCGCCAACCCUUACAUGGUCCUUAAAAAAAAAACCUUCUGACACUGCAGUAGUGAAAAUGAAGCGCACGAUGGGCGGAAGCUGUGAGUCCGGCAAAGUUUUAAAAUGAUGACGUAUUUUAUUAACUCUAACGGCACUGGCGGGUGACUGAAAAUACUAGUGCUGUGUAUGCGGGAUAGACAUUAUUUUCCUGCCCUACAUGAGGGGCUCGUGCGCGGAACGACAUGGGCAGCCCCGGCGGAAACUGCAGGCACAAGCCGGGACGCCGCGGGUUUAAAACAUGCGCGUGAGGUGACCAGAGCGCGUGCGCGAGGGUGUGGGGGGAUGGGAGGGGCAGCAGCCCUCUUCCGGGGGGGAGGGGCGGCGAGGCGAGGCCUGCGGAGCGGGUGCGCGCGGGCGGGCACGUGGGGCCCUUUCGUCCCCGGCGUCCGGGCGCCCUGCAUGGAUCCCCCACCCCAGCUCCUGCUCCCCGGCGGCGGCCGGUGGGCAGAAAGACCGAAACCCACUCACGGCCGCCUGCCGAAUCGCGGCUCUGCUGUUUGUGGGGCGUGCUAGAAACGUGGUCCUAAAAAGAAUGGCGUCCAUUUACAUAAUGCUUUGUUUGCGUUUCGCAAGUUUCUUUCGGUUAAAGCCACAGAAACCCCACCUCCUGCCCUUGUGUCGUUUCCACCGCGGCACCCUUUUCCGACAUUAGAAACAAUAGUGUACGCCUGUGGAGGCCUCGUUUGUUCAGGGGCUGCCGGCCAGGGCUUCAGGACGUUUCUGCGGCUUUCCCCGCGCGGCCUGGGCUCCCGCGGCUGCUUUUCGGGCCCAUGGGCGCAGCCACUGCGCCAGGCUCAAGGGGGGCGGCCCCGUCAGGGCCCGCCAUCUUGGAAGGCCUUUUUUGCCGGUUCUUCCCGCUGAGGAAGUGUCGCUCAAGACGCUGGCCUAUGAGUUGUGAUUUCUGCCUUUUCCCCUUCCUCCUUGGGCUAAGCCAGACCAGAAAGGGCCCCGUGCGCAACGUGCUUCACAAUCUCUCAGGGAAAGCGGCUAACGUGGCGCUACUCCGCCUCCCCUGUUCCUUACCCUUGGGGCGGCCGCCAUGUUUCCUGAACACAAAAUGGCGACACGUGGUUAGCAUUCGUCGCCAACGAGAAAUUGGGGUCGGCCCGAAAGCUCUAGAAUGCACCCCUCUUCCUCCCCGGGGCCUUCCACCUCCGCGAGUUUUAUGACUUAAAAAAGCCCACAGGCUGGUCUGAAGGUCGGAGGCCUAAUUUUAACGCGUUUUCCUCCCUUUAAUUUGAAACGGGAACGCGAAUGACUGUAAAAUGUGGGCACAAUAUUUAAUCUCUCGCCUUUUUAAAGCUUAAUAGUGGAUAAUAGGGGGGCAGUAUCAAGGGAUAAUUUGGGUCCCCACAGUACCAAAGCAUUUAGAAACCUCUGUUUAAUUUAAGGAAUGAGAUAAGUUACUGCUUUUCUAGACUUCCUAGCAUGGGCUGUUGUGCUGGAGAGAACGAGAGCUACGAAGAGACUACAGUGCCUCUGACUUUUUCAUAGGACAGUUGGCCGAGGAAGACAAACAUAAAGAUGAAGUGCUUAAUUCAAGGUCACACAAUGUCGGGGAUGGACCUCCAGAUUUCCUUACUGACCUGCAUUAUCUUGUGGAUACCUGAGUGAAUUCCACACCACCCAUUUUAUAGAUGAAACCACUGAGACAUGGAGCAAUUGACUGAGUAGUCACUGCCCCACCCCUGCCUGGAGCCUCACACAUGACUCGCCUCCUCUCAGUGACCACAGGAAAACAAGCUCAGGGCUCCCACUGAUUGUACAUUAUGAGACGGAGUCUUGCUAUGUUGCCCAGGCUGGUCUUGAACUCCUCACCUCAAGCGAUCCUCCCGUCUUGGCCUCCCAAGUGUCAGGAUUACGGGCAUGUGCUAUCACACCCAACCUGAUACAUUGCCUUUAUAAAUUUUUUUUUCUUUAUUCUAAAAACCAGAAAAAACAAAACUGGAUACAUGUGCAGAACAUGCAGACCAAGUGUGUUGGGGACUUGAGAUGCGUACAUGAGUGUGAUGUUUCCUGCUGAAAGCACAGGUGAGACGUGGUCUUGUAACACAGUGGUUAAGAAUGUGACUUUGGAGCCAGCCUGCUAGGGGCUGAAUUCUGACUCAGCCAUUUACUAACUGUGUGACCUUAGGGAGGAGGACCUGGUUGAUAGAAGAAUUUAUCUCGUAGUCUUAACAUCCACUGUAAUUCCAAACUUUGAGGACGAUAGAGAUCAGUGGGCUUUGACUGCCCAGCAUGCAGUCUCCAUUCUUAGGUGGGUUCCCAAGCCUGUAAAAUGUAAGCCUUAUGCUGCUGAGGGCCAUCUUGCCACCCUGAGGGAAACGCUGCCUGAGAAUGAAACAAGCAUAAGUAAAAGCUGAGCUGUGAGAUGGAGCAAGAUGAAGGCCACAUGACAUCUUUGGAGCACCUGGAUCUAACUGUGCCUUAAGCUAGUCUAACCCUGAACAUUUCAUCAUUUCAUUGACAUGAGCCCAGGUUUUCUUUUUUUUUGGAUGGAGUCUUGCUCUGUCGCCCAGGCUGGAGUGCAGUAGCUCAAUCUCGGCUCACUGCAAGCUCCACCUCCCGGGUUCACGCCAUUCUCCUGCCUUAGCCUCCCAAGUAGCUGGGACAACAGGCGCCCACCACCACUCCCAGCUAAUUUUUUGUAUUUUUAGUAGAGACGGGGUUUUACCAUGUUAGCCGGGAUGGUCUUGAUCUCCUGACCUCAUGAUCCGCCCGCCUCGGCCUCCCAAAGUGCUGGGAUUACAGGUGUGAGCCACUGCACCCAGCCCUCAGGUUUUCCCUUUUUUUACCCCUCCUUUUGAAAAUUUGAUGUGGAAUUUUGCCACCUGCAGCCAGAAGAGUUUUAACUAAUCAGUGCCAUAAAUUUUAUAUAGUUCUCCUUGCAAAAUGUGGAUCAGCCUUUCUCAGCAAAUCCUUUGUCAUAAAGUGCUGAAUUGUAAGUUUGUCAUGAGAAUCACAUGAGAUCAUGCAUGUGAAGAACCUGGCAUUAUCCUCCUCAUAGAAAAAAACCAGUAAAUAUUAACUACAGGAAGCAAGGAAGGAGUGGGGUGAGGGGAAGAAGAAGGGGUACUGAUUUAAAAGAACCCUGGAGUCCUAAGGAUAAUCUAGGAACCCUCAGACCCAAUCCGAUACCCCUAUUCUAAAUGCUCCUAGUGCCCUGUACCUUCCCCUCAUAAGCCUUCAUUAUCAUUGUAAUGAUAUGUUUAUGUAAUAUUUUGAUUAAUGUCUCUCCUUCACUGACCUAGCAGUUCUAGCAGGGCAGUGAUUUUGCUGUGUUGCAUCCCCAGCACCUAGUCUGGUAUGUGGCAUUCAGCAUAUGUUUAUUGAAUGAAUGGCCAUGUGGUUAUUCAGAUCCUCCUUGAUUAUUGGGGUUAGGAUUGUGGCAGAAGUGGCAAAAUCAGGGAGAGUAGUCCCUGUCCCCUCUGUAUCUUAUACACUGCCCACACUCCCAACACACAUACACAUACAGAGAAUUUUGUCUCAAUUAGAUAAUUAACUUCUGCUUGGUUGUAAACCAAACCACUGGUUCUUAAACUUUCAUUGGAUCAUUUUAUUGAAGAAUUAAAUAGUGUGGUUCUGGCCUAAUGUCUGGAAAGCCUUGCAGAGGAGUGGAUUAGGUCUUUGUGAUAAACAGGCAGCCUUCCCUGCUCCUGUGUCUUUAUAAAAUCUAUUUAACUGGAGUAGUCCACCCUCCCUCAGGCUCUUACAGGAAUAUGUUGGAGGCUGUAGGAAGGUGGGAAACCGAGAGGGAAAGGACUGGGCCGCUGGAGACUUCACUCAUUCCCUAGCAAGAAACAAAAGCAGUAAAAGGUGGCCCGAGGACAACCUGAAGCUCACUCCUUCAGCACUUUUGGCUGGAGGUCACUUGUUGGAGCCCCACUCAGAGCUCAGCACACCACCCCACCAGCAGCCUCCUCCUCCCAGCUGAGGCUGCAUUUCAUCCCUUCCCCCAGCCUGCUUUCCCUGAGAUAGGGGAGUGUUUCCCAGGGCCCAUGUGACUUCCACUGGCAAGUGACGAUUACCAAUGGUUUACUAGUCAGUGAAACUACCAAAGGCUUUUGUGCUGUAGUAAUCCUUUUCCUGUUUAAAACUCUGGGGAUUUUCUAAUGUUGCCAAUAGUUUUUCAAGUCAGCAAUUACUGUGUGGAUUAUGUAAUGGCUCGGUAUUAAAAAUAGAAAAGACUGGAGUUUGCAUCUAUUUUAACCAAAUCUUGAAAACAGAGCAAAGGGAGGGGAAGGGUGGAGAGGGAGAGACCAGAGGAGGAGGGAGAAAAAGAGAUCAUGUGACUGGAUAAGACAGCUCACAAUUCACUGUGCCUUUCUCCCACCAUUUGUGGCCCAAGGACCUGUACUCCCUCCUCAGCCUCCUCUAGGGAGGGGUCCUUGAUGAGAAUUCUGAGGACACAAGACCCCUUGUGGAUAUUUCUUAGCUCAGCCUUGGUGUGCUUACCUGCUUCUGACAAGCAAAGUGGCCAAGUAGGGGAGGGAGUUGAAUCUGAUGUCCUCCACUAAGUCCAG